rnacentral:rRNA from 1 species
UACGGGAGGCAGCAGUCGGGAAUAUUGCACAAUGGAGGAAACUCUGAUGCAGCGAUGCCGCGUGAGGGAAGAAGGUUUUCGGAUUGUAAACCUCUGUUGACAGGGACGAUAAUGACGGUACCUGUUCAGAAAGCUCCGGCUAACUACGUGCCAGCAGCCGCGGUAAU